rnacentral:lncRNA from 1 species
AUCAAACGCACCCGUAGUCUUUCUAUUUGUAUUAUUCUUUAGAAAAUAGUAAAAUGGAAAAUUUGGAUCAAUUCGGCACACCCAUGAAGAUUACGCCGUCGACUUGGUUUUCAUCCCAAGCAAAUUUCGCUCAAUUGAACCGUGAAUAAGCCCAAGGUUUUCAGCUACAUAACUAUUACUCUUGCAUAAACCCUAACCUCCUACCCAUUUUGUCGUCGUAGUCAUGACUAUCUCCGACCGGCGUCAUUCAACGGUUCCAUUGAGAGGCCAACUUCUUCAGACCUUAUCUCCGACCCAUUUUGCGAGUAAAGUUUAUUAUUUAUUUCAUAUCCUCUGCACAUUUCUUGGGAACCUAUGUUGUUUUGGGUUUUUAUAUAAUCUUCAUGUUCUUGAAAAUCUGUUGAUCUGCAGCUUAUGGCAUGGUACGCGAUGGAUUUUUUUGUUCUGAUUUAAACUUUUAUUAUUGAAUUUUUCAUUAUUUUGAUAUGUACAGAAAAAUAGAGGCAUUUAUAACUCGUUGAAAUUGGUCUUAUCGAGUUUAGAUGAUAAAUUACUUUCAUAAUCUAUUUGUUUAGAAGUAUUAAAUCACUGUAUUUGGCUAGAGAAAGUGAAAUGAGAGCACAUUUAAAUUGUGAUUCGUAUGGUCUGUUUUUCUGGUGAGAUAGUAUCCCAUUUCAAUUUUGAUGAUUUUUGGUUAUAUCUGUAAGUGCAAGUAGAAGUCGUUGCUGUAAUGUUCUUUGAAUUCUACAUUGGAAUGUUCUUUGAAUUUUGAUGAUUUUGAUGGAAUUGGUCCUAUCGAAUUAGAAGUCGUUGUUGGAAUGUUCUUCGAAUGAUUUUCUUAUGAUGGUUGUUCGUUGCUGGAAUGAUUUUCAUAAUCAAUUUUGAUGAUUUUGAUGGUAUGUUGCUAGAAUGUUCUUUAAAUUCUACGUUGGAUAGUAGAAUUUAUUUGUUGGAUUCCUAUGAUGGUAUAGAACGUUGCUUAAGUUUUUAUGAAGCUGUUUUUUCGGGAUCUCUAUUUCAUUUUAGAUUGUAAUGAAAUCCUCUAAAUAUUGUUUGCCACGUAGGGAUGAGAGGGAGGAAUUAUGGUGUUUGUCACAGUUGUAGAAGCACAAAGCACUACUUUGAAGAUUGCAAGAGGAGAGUUCGUUGUCCACGGUGUGUAGUUGGAAUUCAGAAAUGAUUUGUGGUUGAAAAGGAAGGUAGUAACAAAGGUAGACUAUUCAGAACUUGCAGUAGCUCUUGAUUUUUUUGACUGAGUAAGAACAGAAGAAUCAAGUGGAGAGUCGAGUGUCAUUAAUGAGGAAGUGAUGAAUUCUUCUGCCAAUGAGGAAGUCGACAAUUUGCCAAGUAUGUUCGAACAUCUAGCUCGAAUUGUCAAGAACGAAAUGUCGAGAUUUCAUUGAACAUGACAUUUCACAAAGGAAAAGAGCCCUCGAACGAUAAUGGAGAAGAAAGGGGCCGGCAUGAUUAUUAGUUAUAUUCAUUCUCGUACCCAAAAUAGUUUUGUGUUUGGGCUUGUAAUACCGAAAGAUGAUGAAGAAAGUCGAAGAACCCAACAAUUUUCAUUUUGGAAGAAUGCCAUUUUCAUUCUUAUUUUCAUUUUGUGUUUUGCUCUU